UUUAGUAUCUGUACACAAGCAUGGCCCGAAUAAAAAAAAUGAUACUCUGUGUAGACACAUCAAAAAGUUGACUGCUAUUUAAUGCAGACAGCUUUAGGCUUUGUUCCUGGAGCCUCACUUUUUUUUUCUACUCGGGUCACGUUAUCAUUUGCAGCACACCUGAUUUGUGAGUUCUCAUACAAUCAUCAUAUUCUGUUUCUGUGUCUAUCACAGAUGUAUACGUUAUCAUGCCUUGAAACGCUCCGCUAGAUGUUUUAAAACAAACGCCUAUUGUUCGUCAUCCAUAGAUUGGCAAUAAUUGUAACAGAAAACUCAUUAUCCGUAGAACAUUCGUGAGUUCACGUGUUUUAUAAAGUGUCCUGCUAUCUUUAACUAAAUAACCAAAUGGAAUCUAAAAAAUCAGCCUCCAAUCUGGACCAUGACAUGGAAAUUGAACGUACAUUGCUUGCUUCGCCAGAGGAUGACGCCAUUGUCAGGUCAGCAGAGCUUACCCUCGCCAGCACGUCAACAAUGAGCGUCGAUAGGAUGAAGCGCCCAGCGACUUCUCCGAGCAAUGGCAACGAUAAGCGGCAGCGUAUAACCAUCCGGAAUCAACUGAAAAUCACCAUCAAGAGGGAGAACGCUGAUGUCGACGAAGAUUAUUUUCGCAACCUGUGUGGCCGUAUUUUUGAUAGGCAGCUUCUACUGAAUGGGGAUUUCCAACCAACUUUUUAUAAUUCUCGGUGAUGCCCUACGCACCUAUUCAACCACUAAGACGUACCAUCUUAUCUGUACCUUAUUUUCCCAGUACAGACAGGAACGGUGCUGACAAAUUUCUGAACGUUAUUACACGGUCGAACAGAAAUUUAAAUACACAGUUUUGGAAAGUAUCCAAAGUGCUGUCACCGGAGAAUGGGAUGCGUGUUGUUGUAAUGGGCAUUGAUGAGAAGUCCGUAAUUGCACUUGAAAAUCAAGGGAAUAAACUUUUUUAUGGUCUCGGGCAAAUAACCGUCAAAAUCUAUGCUAAGAUAAAUUCUGAAUGAACACCAAGUUGUGCAAUUUGCUCAAAUGUUGAAUUAUAAUGAAUUUAAUAAACAUGAAUUAGAAUGAUAAAUACA